rnacentral:rRNA from 1 species
CGAAGGAUCCUAGCGUUGUCCGGAUUUACUGGGUUUAAAGGGUGCGUAGGCGGAUUAUUAAGUCAGUGGUGAAAGCCUGCAGCUUAACUGUAGAAUUGCCAUUGAAACUGAUAAUCUCGAGUGUGGUUGAGGUAGCUGGAAUGUAUCAUGUAGCGGUGAAAUGCUUAGAUAUGAUACAGAACACCAAUUGCGAAGGCAGGCUACUAAACCAUAACUGACGCUGAGGCACGAAAGCGUGGGGAUCAAACAGGAUUAGAUACCCUGGUAGUCCACGCCCUAAACGUUGCAUACUCGGUUUUAGCGAUAUACCGUUAGGACCCAAGCGAAAGCGUUAAGUAUGCCACCUGGGAAGUACGAUCGCAAGAUUG